rnacentral:rRNA from 1 species
ACUCCUGCGGGAGGCAGCAGUGGGGAAUAUUGGACAAUGGGCGCAAGCCUGAUCCAGCCAUGCCGCGUGAGUGAUGAAGGCCCUAGGGUUGUAAAGCUCUUUCACCGGUGAAGAUAAUGACGGUAACCGGAGAAGAAGCCCCGGCUAACUUCGUGCCAGCAGCCGCGGUAAUACGAAGGGGGCUAGCGUUGUUCGGAUUUACUGGGCGUAAAGCGCACGUAGGCGGACUAUUAAGUCAGGGGUGAAAUCCCGGGGCUCAACCCCGGAACUGCCUUUGAUACUGGUAGUCUUGAGUUCGAGAGAGGUGAGUGGAAUUCCGAGUGUAGAGGUGAAAUUCGUAGAUAUUCGGAGGAACACCAGUGGCGAAGGCGGCUCACUGGCUCGAUACUGACGCUGAGGUGCGAAAGCGUGGGGAGCAAACAGGAUUAGAUACCCCGGUAGUCC